UUCGCAAUGCCCGAAAGGGUGACGAAGCGACGCCGCGUGUGGGAAGAAGGCCUUCGGGUUGUAAACCACUGUCGGGAGUUAAGAAAUGUAAGGGUGUUAAUAGCGCCUUUACUUGACAAAGGCUCCGGAGGAAGCCACGGCUAACUCUGUGCCAGCAGCCGCGGUAAUACAGAGGCGGCAAGCGUUGUUCGGAAUUAUUGGGCGUAAAGAGCACGUAGGCGGCUUUGCAAGUCAGUUGUGAAAGCCUUCCGCUUAACGGAAGAACAGCAGCUGAUACUACAGAGCUUGAGUACGGGAGGGGAGAGUGGAACUUCUGGUGGAGCGGUGAAAUGCGUAGAUAUCAGAAGGAACGCCGGCGGCGAAAGCGGCUCUCUGGACCGUAACUGACGCUGAGUGUGCGAAAGCUAGGGGAGCAAACGGGAUUAGAUACCCCGGUAGUCCUAGCCGUAAACGAUGGGCACUAAGUAGAGGGGUUUU
rnacentral:rRNA from 1 species